GUGAGUCAUCGAAUCUUUGAACGCACAUUGCGCCUCCUUCACAGGGGGCAUGCCUGUCUGAGUGUCAUUUAAACCAAAUGGGCCCGAUCCGGGUCCCGUGUUGGGCCUCGCCCUCCCCCUUGUGGGGGGGCGUCGCCUCGAGGCCAUUGGUCUGAUGGGCGGACGAGUUCCUCUAGGACGGACCGCCCCGUAGGCCGCGAGACUUCUGACUUUGACCUCAGAUCAGGUAGGGACACCGCCUGAACUUAAGCAUAUCAAUAAGCGGAGGA
rnacentral:misc_RNA from 1 species